rnacentral:rRNA from 1 species
AUGGCCCGAGCGUUAGUGAAUUUUUUUUAUUUCGGACGCACCCGACCGCCGCGCCUUUGUCUCGAGCGAAGCGGCGCAGUCUCCUCUAUCCUCUCCUCACAAGCGGAUCCGGCGCUGCUGCUACAGCCCGCGCCGCCGCCGCCUCCGCUCGCCGCUGCGGAUCCACCGCCGCCCCCGCUACAGCCUGCCGUCACCCCUCCACCCUUCCGCUCACCGCUGCCUCCGUCUUCGCGACGGUCCUCCCAAGCUAACGAGGCUGACAACCCGAGCGGCGGCUGCGAUGGCUUGAGCGUUUGCGAGACCGGAUGGUAG